GUGUCCUCUCCCAGGUGCAGCUGGUCCAGUCCGGCCCAGGAGCGGUGAAGCCCGGAGAGACCCUCAGUAUCACCUGUAAAGUCUCUGGUGUCUCUGUCAGCAGCUACUAUUGGAGCUGGGCCCAGCAGCCCCCUGGGAAAGGGCUGGAGUGGAUGGGGUUUAUCCGACACACAGUUAACGGUGGGACCACAGAGUGUAACUCAGUUCUCAAACCUUGUGUCACCAUCACCAGGGACACCUCGAAGGAUGAAGUUUAUGUCCAGCUCGGCUCCCGAACAGCUGCAGACACCGGCACCUAUUACUGCGCCAGACACACAGUGACACAGAGCAAAGCUGGGACUGGCAGAUAA